UACGUAGGGGGCAAGCGUUGUCCGGAUUUAUUGGGCGUAAAGAGCGUGUAGGCGGCUUUACAGGUCCGUUGUGAAAACUCGAGGCUCAACCUCGAGACGCCGGUGGAAACUGCAAAGCUAGAGUCCGGAAGAGGAGAGUGGAAUUCCUGGUGUAGCGGUGAAAUGCGCAGAUAUCAGGAAGAACACCCGUGGCGAAGGCGGCUCUCUGGGACGGUACUGACGCUGAGACGCGAAAGCGUGAGGAGCGAACAGG
rnacentral:rRNA from 1 species